rnacentral:rRNA from 1 species
UGGCUCAAAUUGAACGCUGGCGGCAGGCCUAACACAUGCAAGUCGAACGGUAACAGGAAGAAGCUUGCUUCUUUGCUGACGAGUGGCGGACGGGUGAGUAAUGUCUGGGAAACUGCCUGAUGGAGGGGGAUAACUACUGGAAACGGUAGCUAAUACCGCAUAACGUCGCAAGACCAAAGAGGGGGACCUUCGGGCCUCUUGCCAUCGGAUGUGCCCAGAUGGGAUUAGCUAGUAGGUGGGGUAACGGCUCACCUAGGCGACGAUCCCUAGCUGGUCUGAGAGGAUGACCAGCCACACUGGAACUGAGACACGGUCCAGACUCCUACGGGAGGCAGCAGUGGGGAAUAUUGCACAAUGGGCGCAAGCCUGAUGCAGCCAUGCCGCGUGUAUGAAGAAGGCCUUCGGGUUGUAAAGUACUUUCAGCGGGGAGGAAGGGAGUAAAGUUAAUACCUUUGCUCAUUGACGUUACCCGCAGAAGAAGCACCGGCUAACUCCGUGCCAGCAGCCGCGGUAAUACGGAGGGUGCAAGCGUUAAUCGGAAUUACUGGGCGUAAAGCGCACGCAGGCGGUUUGUUAAGUCAGAUGUGAAAUCCCCGGGCUCAACCUGGGAACUGCAUCUGAUACUGGCAAGCUUGAGUCUCGUAGAGGGGGGUAGAAUUCCAGGUGUAGCGGUGAAAUGCGUAGAGAUCUGGAGGAAUACCGGUGGCGAAGGCGGCCCCCUGGACGAAGACUGACGCUCAGGUGCGAAAGCGUGGGGAGCAAACAGGAUUAGAUACCCUGGUAGUCCACGCCGUAAACGAUGUCGAAUGGGAGGUUGUGCCCUUGAGGCGAGGCAUCCGGAGAUAACGCGGAAAGUCGACAGCAUGGGGAGUACGGCCCGCAAGAUUAAAACUCAAAGAAAUUGACGGGGGCCCGCACAAGCGGUGGAGCAUGUGGUUUAAUUAGAUGCAACGCGAAGAACCUUACCUGGUCUUGACAUCCACAGAACUUUCCAGAGAUGGAUUGGUGCCUUCGGGAACUGUGAGACAGGUGCUGCAUGGCUGUCGUCAGCUCGUGUUGUGAAAUGUUGGGUUAAGUCCCGCAACGAGCGCAACCCUUAUCCUUUGUUGCCAGCGGUCCGGCCGGGAACUCAAAGGAGACUGCCAGUGAUAAACUGGAGGAAGGUGGGGAUGACGUCAAGUCGUCAUGGCCCUUACGACCAGGGCUACACACGUGCUACAAUGGCGCAUACAAAGAGAAGCGACCUCGCGAGAGCAAGCGGACCUCAUAAAGUGCGUCGUAGUCCGGAUAGGAGUCUGCAACUCGACUCCAUGAAGUCGGAAUCGCUAGUAAUCGUGGAUCAGAAUGCCACGGUGAAUAAAAUGCCGGGCCUUGCACACUCCGCCCGUCA